rnacentral:tRNA from 1 species
GUAAAUAUAGCUUAACCGUUAAAGCAUUAGAUUGUGAAUCUAAAGUUAGAGCUUCAAUAUCUCUUAUUUACC